UGAACAGAAGGAAAGAGUGUCACUUUGAAAAAUAUUAAGUAAAGAAGUGGCAAAAAUGCCAAGGACAUGGACAAGACUGUGUAACAAAGGGACCUGCCCUCCUGAGGCUCCCAAGGCAGACACCUAGAUGGUCAAUGGAGCUGUUCUUGUUGCAGAGCGUGGGCAGAGUCUAGUCCAAGGCAAAUCUCGUGCUACCCAGGAGAAGUCACUGAGGAUAACACCAGGACUGUGGAGGGGCAGUGCAAGGUGCUGGUGAGGAAAAGGGGGAAAUGCAGACCAGAUAAUGAAGAACCAGAACAACCCGGAGGCAUCUGUACCCAGCAGAGCAUGAGCCCCGUGGAACCAGGCCCAGGCAAAUAUUAAGAAUUCUCUAAACUGCCUACAGUCUUGAGGUUGCCCUUCUUUUCUUCUGUGUGGAGGUGAAACUGAAAAUCCUAAUUAUUCCAUGAUCAGUGCUUUUGCCAAGAGGAUACCAAGCUUGAUAUCAUCACAUCGGACCGACACCAGGAAUUAGUGCGAUGUGGGCUUGCUGAGCUGCGAGUCAAAGCAGAUUUUACGUAAUGAAGUAAAAGCAAUCAACUAAAAAAGUCUCAUUAAUGCUUCUGUACGUUUUGAGGAAAUGGAAAUGUGACCAAAAUGCACAUUAUGAACUCCUCAAGAUCACAGGUAGGUAAAUCACCUCUCGGUUUUAGCAGUGUUGUACAGAAGAUCUCCAGGACAUCUGACAAAUAAGAUCUUUUCAUUUUCUUUGGUAAGAAACAUAGACUGAAUGGGAUGGGCCAAAAUUUACAUUUGCACUGCCUGCCAAAUAUGCAAAUAAAUAAGAAAAGUCUACUUUAUCUUUGGAUGAAA